rnacentral:lncRNA from 10 species
CUGUGAUCAUGGAAGGAGCCUGGUCCCUAAAUCACCACAGAGUGAAAAGCUGCUCGCUGACUAAGAACAUUUAUAUCAGACUCUUUCAUGGAUUUCUUCUGAAUUUUGUCCUUGGAGGUGUGGGAAGAAUGAAUAUUGAAUAUUCAUACUCAACAUGAAUAUUUUGGAAGCUGGGCCUGAAAGUUAAGGUUCACUGAAAGCUAAAAAUGAGAUGAACUCAGUGAAAGUACUGUGGAAAGAGGCACCUGGCUGGAUAUUUGAAUCUUCUUAACCCUGAGCUCUGCUUCAGUCUCAUCUGUUGUGUUCAUGACAUGACUCUCUAAUCACUAUGGGCAAUUGGGAAAAUGGUUAUUUUCAAAAAGAAAUUGACUUGUCUCUUCGUAGUUUAAUGUAGAAGCAGGUAUAGUUUGGUUAUGGUGAAAUCUGGUCCAAUGACGGCAUCCACAGAUGAGGCCAAAGCUUGAAUGCCCUUGGAGCCUAUACUGCUUUUAGGCCCUGGCAGAAACAUGGUUUUUAAAUCACAUUCCAAAGUGCAAUUACCAACAAUGAAUAAAUACAUCAUAACAAUGGGGGAAGCAGAAAAUGACUUUAGAAAGACAGAGUGAUCUUUUGAGACACAGUCUAUAUAAUUCCUAGGAAGCCCUGAUAGUAUCUUCUUGGGAAAUCUCCCUGCUGCAGGAAACUGCCUUCCUAGAUUUUACCUCACUGCCUCUAGUUGCAGUUACUUCAGGUAAACAGACCUCCUUUUAACUGUGACUCUUCCUCAGAGAACCAAAAUAUGCUUUGUUUUUUCUUGGGCCCUAUAGGAUCCUGGUUUGGGAUAAAUCUCAUAUGUCUAUUUUCCAAAGAUCAUUUUGGUUUCUCUGUAUUUGUAAAUGCACUUGAUUGUAAUCACAAAAGAAAAGACAGUGAUGCACUGUGUUGGCUCUGAAGAAAAACAUUGACCAGACAGAAAGUCUUCCCCAUAGCCAAACUGAGCUGUAAUGACCGUGCUUUUCAUUUCUCCCAGGAAAUAGUAAUAUAAUUGGUCACUGUAUUACAGUAAACAGUUUGUUCAUUCUUUGUUCAGUAGAAAAUGUUUGGGAGAUAUGUCUCACAUAAUAUGCUGGCUUCACGAUAAUAAAGACUGGGAAUAGAUUUGUUUCUAA